rnacentral:rRNA from 1 species
GAUGAACGCUGGCGGCGUGCCUAAUACAUGCAAGUCGAACGCAUUGUGGUUGAAAUGAUAUGAAGAACUUGUUCAGAUUUGAUUUUUCAACAUUGCAAUGAGUGGCGAACGGGUGAGUAACACGUGGGAAACCUACCUCCUUAGCAGGGGAUAACAUUUGGAAACAAAUGCUAAUACCGUAUAAUAAUUAAAACCGCAUGGUUUUAGUUUAAAAGAUGGUCUUGCUAUCACUAAGAGAUGGUCCCGCGGUGUAUUAGUUAGUUGGUGAGGUAAAUGGCUCACCAAGACAAUGAUACAUAGCCGAGUUGAGAG